UAGGGAAUCUUCCACAAUGGACGCAAGUCUGAUGGAGCAACGCCGCGUGAGUGAAGAAGGUUUUCGGACCGUAAAGCUCUGUUGUUGGUGAAGAAGGAUAGAGGUAGUAACUGGCCUUUAUUUGACGGUAAUCAACCAGAAAGUCACGGCUAACUACGUGCCAGCAGCCGCGGUAAUCGUAGGUGGCAAGCGUUGUCCGGAUUUAUUGGGCGUAAAGCGAGCGCAGGCGGAAGAAUAAGUCUGAUGUGAAAGCCCUCGGCUUAACCGAGGAAUUGCAUCGGAAACUGUUUUCUUGAGUGCAGAAGAGGAGAGUAGAACUCCAUGUGUAGCGGUGGAAUGCGUAGAUAUAUGGAAGAAUACCAGUGGCGAAGGCGGCUCUCUGGUCUGCAACUGACGCUGAGGCUCGAAAGCAUGGGUAGCGAACAGGAUUAGAUACCCUGGUAGU
rnacentral:rRNA from 1 species